rnacentral:lncRNA from 10 species
CUCCACCAGGAAGGAAAGAUUUAUAACAGUUUUACUGAGGUAUAUUUAACAUACCGUAAAAUUCACCAUUUAAAGUGUACAGUUCAGUGGUUAUUGUGUAUUCACAGAGUUGUGCAACCAUCACCACAAUAAUUUUAAAACAUUUUCGGCCGGCAUGGUGGCAGGCUGACCUUGAGCUCCUGGGCUCAAGCAGUCCUCAGCCUAAAUCUACUGAAUAGCUUUGACUACAGGUGUGUGCCACUAUGUCAGGCUGAUUUUUAUAUGUUGAGCUUGUAUCCUGCAAUCUUGCUGUAUUUAUAUAUUAGUUUUAAUAGCUUUUUAGUGAUUUCCAAGGAUUGUCUAUAU